UACAGAGGGGGCAAGCGUUGUUCGGAAUUACUGGGCGUAAAGGGCGCGUAGGCGGCCUUCUAAGUCGAACGUGAAAUCCCCGGGCUCAACCCGGGAACUGCGUCCGAUACUGGAAGGCUUGAAUCCGGGAGAGGGAUGUGGAAUUCCCGGUGUAGCGGUGAAAUGCGCAGAUAUCGGGAAGAACACCCGUGGCGAAGGCGGUUCUCUGGGACGGUACUGACGCUGAGACGCGAAAGCGUGGGGAGCGAACAGGAUAGAUACCGGGUAGCCAAGACCAAUGCUC
rnacentral:rRNA from 1 species